rnacentral:lncRNA from 1 species
UGUCUUAGAAAGAAAACUAAAAUUCAAAACGUAGGAAUAAAUGACAUUAGGUUUAACAAGCAAGAAAGAAGGUCGUGUAGUUCCUCCCAGCACCAGCCAUCGUGGGGCCCAGGCUGUGUGAAGCCAGGGAGAGGCGUAAGAUAUUUGUAUCACCAGCCAUGACGGCCAGCAUGCUCCUUUCCACUGACUGAAAUAUCCCAGCAUGCACCGAUACAGCUUAUUAGUGUUGAAAGCUAUGCAAGAGUCUGUGAACAGUCACACUUCCCACUGUGGUUUGAAGUUCAGUCCCGGCGGGUGGCCAUCUUGGCUCAUCAACUGAGGGCCUGCAGUGACCACAGGGGAUGGAAAUGAACGGAGAACAUGAUCCCAUGAGCCAAAGUUCUGCUUCAGGACAGCCUCUGGGGCCACCUUUGACGUGGAGUCGCU